CCCUGUCACGAGUCAACCAGUGGUGGUUUACAGAAGUUAGUUUUGGAAUCGGACAGCCCUGGCUGGAAAUACAGAGCGCACAAAGCUGCAUCCUUCAUGCCGGGGGAGAGGAGGAUACUCCUUCCUGCUCGUUUCCACUUGCACCCCAAAACGUCCCAGCUAGUGCAGUAGUGGCCUGGAAAGACGUUGCACGAUCAGUUAUUUUCCUGCCUGCUGCCAACACUCCCACCACAAACUCUCCUGCUGCUGCUCUCACGUGCGUGAGAUGCACUGACAUUUUCUUGCCUCUUUCUGAGCUUGCAAAGAGCACAGUCCAGCACAGCAAGAAAUCCUGCCAUCCCCGCUCAGGCGGGAAAACAGGGAUGUUAAUGGGCUCCUUCAAGCAGAAAAUGUAAUUUUGGCUUAAAGAGUGUCAAAUAGUGUCUCGUAUGCGUGCAUGAGGGGGUAAUCCGGAGGAGAAACUGCAGCAAGCAACGUUGCCGAGGAGGAAUUGGCAUCGUGAGCUUGUGAUCAGUUCUCCUGGGGCAGAGUCUGGAGUGUUUCAAGCACAACAUUAGAGGGACGCUAAAAACAGAGCACUGAACUUUGUGUGGCUUUGCUCAUUCCUCAGAACUACUCAUGUAAGUAUAAUUGCUCUUCUGUAAUCCUUUUUCUUUCAGAAGUAGGAUGGGAAGUUAAUUUAGAUCAUUAUCCCCAGGAAUUUGGAUUUUGAAGGUAAACUGUCCUGUAAAUCACUUUUCAUUAUUUUUGUUGUUUGAUAUUUAAAUUGGAUUUAGUUAUUAAUUCUUUUAUCUUCCGACUGCAACCGUCACUGCACACUCCAAAGCGGCAAGCAGUGGCCUUGCAAGCUGCUUAAUUGACAGCCAUGCAUAUUCAUUAGCAUGGCACGUACAAAUCACUCUAAGGUCUAGGAAAGCUGCUGUUCAGAGGAGGAUCCGGUGCCACUAGCCAUGAGCAAACCCUUAAUGAAGUCUGAUGGAUGGAAGUUUGCCGAGAUUCUCGUCUCAUACAGUCUGCACAGUUCCCGCAAGUCUCGUCUGCGGGAUGCACCGUACGUUUGAAGACGUUUUGCAGGGAGCUCUAUUCCUGGGUAGCGCUGAGGAUCCCAUCCAGGAGGGAAUGCAGCUAGGAAAGAAACAGCAGAAUUACAGCAAAAGUGACCUUUUAAGCGCAACAGCGCUGAGGGGGCCGGCCAGGCUGAAACGCUCGCCCAUGGGGACGGAGGGGGAGGCGCUCGGUGCUGGCCUCGUCCCCCGGCCAUCCUUGCCGGCCACAAGCACGGAGGCAACCUGGGGAGCUGGCCAUCCCCCCCUGGCCUGCCCUGCUCUCAGAGGCAGAGCCACAACGAGGUUGCACCUACGUCCACCUGUGGCUCCGGCGGGUGGGAAGCGCGGAAGCGAGCCCAGCUGCAGCAUCUCCGGCUGUGUGUGUCCGUGCAUCCGUGCGUGGAGCCGGGGCUGGGAACGGUGAGCUGUCCCAAGCUGGUGCUUUUCCAGGUGGAGAGGAGUGAGAAACAGAAACCCUGCGGAGAGGGAGACUGAGCCGAGCAGCACCAGUUGCGUUGCAGAAGACCCAAAGGCUGUUUCUCCCCCCUUCCCCCCCCCCUUUUUUUUCCUUUGCCAAUUAAAAUGAGGGACAAAUCUCCAAGCAGAGGAGGGAAUAUGAACAAUUAAGAGUUAACUUCCCCGAGGGUCCCUGUGGUUCGUAAGCACAACACACCUGAUACCUGUUAGGGGGUGUCUCCCCUCUCAAGACACCAUCCAGCUCGCAGCUGAGCGUCAUUCCCUUCUAGCAAAUGUUUACCUGGAAAAAUAAAAUGAGCUAAACCUUGUGCUGUUGUGUAUCC
rnacentral:lncRNA from 1 species